rnacentral:rRNA from 1 species
UACAGAGACUGCAAGCGUUAUUCGGAUUCACUGGGCGUAAAGGGUGCGCAGGCGGCCGGGUGUGUCAGAUGUGAAAUCCCGAGGCUCAACCUCGGAACUGCGUCUGAAACUACUCGGCUAGAGUACUGGAGAGGGUAACGGAAUUCACGGUGUAGCAGUGAAAUGCGUAGAUAUCGUGAGGAACACCAGAGGCGAAGGCGGUUACCUGGACAGGUACUGACGCUGAGACGCGAGCAGCAGUGGGGGAGCAAACAG